rnacentral:rRNA from 1 species
UAUUAAGUAGGGCGGAACACGUGAAAUUCUGUCUGAAGAUCGGAGGACCACCUUCGAAGGCUAAGUACUCCUUACUGACCGAUAGUGAACCAGUACCGUGAGGGAAAGGUGAAAAGCACCCCGACGAGGGGAGUGAAACAGUACCUGAAACCGAACGCCUACAAUCAGUCGGAGCUUGACUGGACUCUAAUGACAAUCUGCUUCAAGAACGUUGAUGAGGAUCAACGCGAAGGAAGCGAAACAAUGUCAGAUUUUGCCAUUAUUACAGAUGGAACAGCAGCCGUUGUCGGCCUCGUAUUGGGGUUAAUCAACAUGGGUGUGAACCAUUGCCCGAACGACGGGUGUUUGGCAAAAAAUGAGGUAACACCUUACAUCGCGGCCUCGGUCGGUGAUGUGGUUUACCAAAAACAAACCAUCGGCGAGGAAUUCUAUAUCAGAAAGCAAACUGGUAAAGCUCGCGGACCAUUCCAAUUCACCUACGGUGCAUCAGUUACCGAAGAUGGCGGGGUUUGGGUCGGGUUUGGCAGCACAACGACAUAUCAGAUCAAUAACAGAUGGUACGCCCAGUUCCAUUCGAUGCCCGGCAUUUACAUGAAGGGUGACGAUGUGGGUCUUGGUGGGCCAAUCGAAUUCAGAUCUGGUGUCGAAUUGGGAUACGAAAAUCGCGCAGGUGUGCGGAUGGGCCUCAGCGUUGACCAUCGGUCAAACGCGGGGAUCUACUCCAGCAACCCUGGCCUUGAAACAGUACAGUUUCGAGUUUCAAUCCCUCUCAAAUAACCACCACGUGGUUGUCAUUAGUGUCCAGUCUUGUGACGGCGUACCUUUUGUAUAAUGGGUCAUCGACUUAGUGUAUCUAGCAAGCUUAAGCCGUUAGGUGUAGGCGCAGCGAAAGCGAGUCUUAAUAGGGCGACUGAGUUAGAUGCAUUAGACCCGAAACCGAGUGAUCUAGGCAUGACCAGGUUGAAGGUAAGGUAACACUUACUGGAGGACCGAACCCACAUCUGUUGAAAAAGAUCGGGAUGAGUUGUGCCUAGGGGUGAAAGGCCAAUCAAACUCGGAGAUAGCUGGUUCUCUGCGAAAUCUAUUUAGGUAGAGCGUCAUCCGAAUACCCUCGGGGGUAGAGCACUGGAUGGGUAAUGGGGCCCCACAGGCUUACUGAUCCUAACCAAACUCCGAAUACCGAGGAGUACUAGAUGGCAGA